ACCUCUUCCCAGGCCUCCUUCUCCAGUGCUUAGCCUGGAAGGCAGUCCUCCCUGGCCCUUCCCAGGAGGGGAUUAGCCCUCCCCCCCCCGUGGCCCCCCCCCCCCCCGCAGCCCUCCAAAGCUCUGACAGAACAUUCACAACCCCCAUCAGCACCGUGACAAUAGCCACUAUGAGGCACUCGGUUUCUAUUACCUGCUGGACACAUCGUGCACAAUUGCCACAUUAGAUUCUCAUAUUAGCUGAUGGCGUAGACAUUGUCUUUCUUUCUUUCUUUCUUUCUUUCUUUCUUUCUUUAAUUUACUAUCUUAACCAUUUAAUUAAAUAAUUUUUUUUCAGCUUAUUUUUUAUAUUUUUUACAAGACAGAGCAUGAGCAGGGGAGGGGCAGAGAGAAACGGAGACACAGGAUCUGUCAGCACAGAGCCCGACGCGGGGCUCCAACUCACGAACUGUGAGAUCAUGACCUGAGCCGAGGUCGGACGCUUAACCGACUGACCCCCCACCCACCCCCGCAGGCGCCCCAACAUUGUAUUUCUUGACUUUGAGGCAAAGAAGCAGACGUAGGCAGGUCGCUCAAGCCCCCCAGGGACACGCCGCCGGUGAGAGCCUCAGCUCCGAGCUGCCCGCAGGAUAUCCGUAGCUGUCAGAACUCCUCCUCUGCCCCCUUUCUAGAAGGUACCCGUCUUUUCCAGAAACCAGCUGUAGGUUUUGCUGCUUCUGUUUGUCUCUCAGUUCACCAAUUGGUGUUCUUAUUUUUAUUCCUGCCUUCUACUCUCUUUGGAUUUAUUUCGCGGUUUCUUUUGUAACUCUUUGAGAUGGACUUGAGUUUGCUGCUUUUUUAAAAUUUUUAUCUUUUUUUUUUUUUUUUUUUUUUUACUAGAAUUGAUGUAUGACGUCAUGUUAGAUUCAGGGGUGCGACACAGCGAUUGGGAAAUCGCGUCCGUUUCCCAGUGCACACCAGGCAAGCGUGGUCACCCGUCGUCACCACGAGCGCAUGGCUUCCCCGUCCUUCCUUUCCGCACAGAAGGCCACCAAUUUCCCGGGAUCAAUAUGUAACCAGUCCUGUGUCAUCUCUGUCCCCACGCUUUGUCUCCUCUCCCCAAGCACGGAUUGUUAAGCGACUCCAGCCGUUCGUGUCUUCUGUAAAUAUGACUGUUCUCAAGUAUACCAGAUACAUUCCUGAAAAUACCUUUCUUGGGGUGGAAAGAUUCCUGCCAGUAUACAUUUCCACGUCCCUGAGUCUCCCCUUCCCUGCUUUUCAGCCCCCCUGUCUAUCUCCUCCCUCACCCCUCACCCUUCACCCUCACCUCUCUGUCCUCAGCGUCCCCCUAACCUGACCAGCGGUCUCUCCUUCCGGGGGUGGGCAGUCCAGGCUGACUCUCCCCCCCCCCCCCGACCGUUUCCUCCAUCUGAAGCAGUGGGGAGCUGGACAACACAUCUAGAAUGUUCUGCGGUCAAGUGGGGAGCAAGUUCAACACACCUAGAAUGUUCCGCGGUCAAGUACAGAAGAGUUAGCCUACACUUGACAGAAAUCUUCAAAAUCUUAAAAAAGAAAAUCCCACCUGUUAUGAAUCACUAUAAAGCUGUAAGUCAUUAGAAUCAAUGACUCUGUUGAUUGACUCGCCUUUGAUGUAUGGACUCAGAGCUGUGUGACCGAGGAUGUGUCAUUUCACCCCCCUGCACCUCAGUUUCCUCUUCUGUAAAGGGGGGAGGUUGGACCACAACAGUGGUUUUCAAACUGUUUUUGGAAGCAGCGUUUUCUUUUCCCCCAACCAAAGCCUCGGUGGACCCCAACAGUCAGAAGCGAGACUG
rnacentral:lncRNA from 1 species